rnacentral:rRNA from 1 species
UACGUAGGGUGCGAGCGUUAAUCGGAAUUACUGGGCGUAAAGCGUGCGCAGGCGGUUCGUUGUGUCUGUGGUGAAAGCCCCGGGCUUAACCUGGGAAUGGCCAUGGAAACUGGCGAGCUGGAGUCUGGCAGAGGGGGGUGGAAUUCCGCGUGUAGCAGUGAAAUGCGUAGAGAUGCGGAGGAACACCGAUGGCGAAGGCAGCCCCCUGGGCUAAGACUGACGCUCAGGCACGAAAGCGUGGGGAGCAAACGGG